GCCGGGUGUGGUGGUGCGUGCCUGUAAUCCUAGCUGUUGGGGAGGCUGAGGCAGGAGAAUCACUUGAACCCAGGAGGUGGAAGUUGCAGUGAGCUGAGAUCACACAACUGCACUCCAGCCUGGGUGACAGAGUGAGACUCUGUCUCAA
rnacentral:sRNA from 1 species